AUUGAACGCUGGCGGCAGGCCUAACACAUGCAAGUCGAACGAGCGGCGGACGGGUGAGUAAUGUAUGGGGAUCUGCCCGAUGGAGGGGGAUAACUACUGGAAACGGUGGCUAAUACCGCAUACCAUCGGAUGCACCCAUAUGGGAUUAGCUAGUAGGUGGGGUAAAGGCUCACCUAGGCGACGAUCCCUAGCUGGUCUGAGAGGAUGAUCAGCCACACUGGAACUGAGACACGGCCCAGACUCCUACGGGAGUCAGCAGUGGGGAAUAUUGCACAAUGGGCGCAAGCCUGAUGCAGCCAUGCCGCGUGUAUGAAGAAGGCCUUAGGGUUGUAAAGUACUUUCAGCGGGGAGGCGUUACCCGCAGAAGAAGCACCGGCUAACUCCGUGCCAGCCGCCGCGGUAAUUC
rnacentral:rRNA from 1 species